GACGAACGCUGGCGGCGCGCUUAACACAUGCAAGUCGAACGGAAAGGCCUGCUUUCCCUUGUGGAUUGCGGGUACUCGAGUGGCGAACGGGUGAGUAACACGUGAGUGAUCUUCCCCCAACUUGGGUAUAAGCCUGGGAAACUGGGUCUAAUUCCCGAUAGGACUGCAGGGUGGUGCCUGUGGUGGAAAACGACUCUCUAGUGGUUGGGGAUGAGCUCGCGGCCUAUCAGCUUGUUGGUGGGGAAAUGGCCUGCCAAGGCGUCGACGGGUAGCCGGCCUGAGAGGAGGGACGGUGAAAUUGAGACUGGGACACAGCCCAGACUCGUACGAGAGGCAGCAGAGGGGGGUAUUGCACAAUGGGCGGGAGCCUGACGCAGCGACGCCGCGUGGAGGAUGACGGCCUUCGGGUGGUAAACUCCUUUCGACCGCGAGGAAGCCGCCUGGUUGGAAGGGUGGUGACGGUAGUGGUAGAAGAAGCACCGGCUAACUACGUG
rnacentral:rRNA from 1 species